GACAGUUUGCCCAAGGUCCUGUAGCUGUAGUCAUGGAUAUAGCUAAUGGUUAUAAUUCACUAUGUGUUCUAUUAAUACAUCCAUGGUAUGAUCUUAUGAUACGAGGCAUGUACGUAUGUAUGCUGUAAAGCCUUUAACGUGGAUGUAACGUCAUUAGCGUUUUCCAAACUUCCGGGGCUAUCGGCUAGUAGCUAACAUCAGCGGUAGCUAGCAGUUGAGUUCUGUUGACAACUAUGCGUUGCACAACAUACGUCACAUACUCCGUUGAUCUGAUUGGUUAUCGGUUUAUCCAACUGAGUGCAGGGGAUUUUCUUUCCUGGUUCGGUUGAAACACACGCCAUACUCACAGCCCAAUGGAGCAGUAUCAGACUCAUAUUCUGACUAGAAUCAGAGUAUGACGAUAUCAAGCUAGUGUGAAAAUGCAUAAUGAUAAAUACGCACUAGGAUCAUUCAGGUGCCAUCCAUAUUGGAUGCACGUCUGAUGUUAAAUACAUAGAACAUUUUGUCGUAACAUUGAUGUUGAAUGAACUUCUCCUAGUCCCAUGAAUUACUGCUACCUUCAUAUAUUGUACGUCUGGACAUAUUUGUUCCCACGUCUCAGUUAUGACUUUAUGGAGCUUUUUAACGCCUCAGUUGUGAAUUGAGGGCUGCCAUUAACAGUUCCCAUGGGAUGUGAUAUUACACAUCUCUUUGUUGUUGCUAGUGUCUUCAGAAAAAAACAAAACUACAGCCAGGCAAUUAAUAACACGUUGACAAGAAUAUUUGUGAUGCACUACUGCUGGAGAUAUUCAUCAUGUAAUCUGUUGCACUUAAUUUGUUUUUACAGACACUUCUGUCUCCUUACAUCUGUGAUAUGAGUGUCUUUACACUCUGACUUGUAUUGUCAUAUAUAAUACAAUACAUAGCCUAAAGCCAAUAAUAAUUGAGUGUGUGUUUCACUGGUUUUAGUGUCUAGUCAUCAAUGCAGGUUUGUGGGAGAUUUUUAAAGAUCAGAGACACAGGACAUUGAACGUGCAUGUGAAUUGAAAUAAGGGAACAGAACCCACAUUAGUGCUCAGUACUACUACACCUUACCACAGUACUGCAACAAAAAUAGCCACCCUUUUACUUAACACUCCACCCAUGUAAGUUAAGGAUUAACUAAAGCUGUAGCAUUUCUAUAAAGUUACCGAGCCUCCCUAUGCUGUAAUGUUUUUCUAUAGUUGGGACCAUAACUCGAUGAUUAAGUGCUUGAUAUAAUGCCAUAAAUUAAAUGUACUGACUCUAACCCCUCUGUGAAGUCCUCCUAAUAAAUCCCUGGUUUAAGAGAUUCA